rnacentral:tRNA from 1 species
AGUGGUUAAACAUUUGGCUGCUAACCAAAAGGUCAGUGGUUCAAAUCCACCAGCCACUC